CCCGGUGUAGCGGUGAAAUGCGUAGAUAUCGGGAAGANCACCAGUGGCGAAGGCGCUCUGCUGGGCCAUUACUGACGCUCAUGGACGAAAGCCAGGGGAGCGAAAGGGAUUAGAUACCCCUGUAGUCCUGGCCGUAAACGAUGAACACUAGGUGUCGGGGGAAUCGACCCCUUCGGUGUCGUAGCUAACGCGUUAAGUGUUCCGCCUGGGGAGUACGCACGCAAGUGUGAAACUCAAAGGAAUUGACGGGGGCCCGCACAAGCGGUGGAGUAUGUGGUUUAAUUCGAUGCAACGCGAAGAACCUUACCAGGGUUUGACAUCCUGCGAACCUCUUAGAAAUUUGAGGGUGCCUUCGGGAAUGCAGUGACAGGUGGUGCAUGGCUGUCGUCAGCUCGUGUCGUGAGAUGUUGGGUUAAGUCCCGCAACGAGCGCAACCCACGUUUUUAGUUGCCAGCAUUUAGUUGGGCACUCUAGAAAGACCGCCGGUGAUAAACCGGAGGAAGGUGUGGAUGACGUCAAGUCAUCAUGCCCCUUACACCCUGGGCUACACACGUACUACAAUGCUACGGACAAAGGGCAGCAAACUCGCGAGAGCUAGCAAAUCCCAUAAACCGUGGCUCAGUUCAGAUCGUAGGCUGCAACUCGCCUACGUGAAGUAGGAAUCGCUAGUAAUCGCAGGUCAGCAUACUGCGGUGAAUACGUUCCCGGGCCUUGUACACACCGCCCGUCACACCAUGGAAGUUGGCCAUGCCCGAAGUCGUUACUCCAACCCUUGUGGAGGAGGACGCCGAAGGUGGGGCUAAUGACUGGGGUGAAGUCGUAACAAGGUAACC
rnacentral:rRNA from 1 species